GAUGAACGCUGGCGGCGUGCCUAAUACAUGCAAGUCGAGCGAACAGACGAGGAGCUUGCUCCUCUGACGUUAGCGGCGGACGGGUGAGUAACACGUGGAUAACCUACCUAUAAGACUGGGAUAACUUCGGGAAACCGGAGCUAAUACCGGAUAAUAUAUUGCACCGCAUGGUUCAAUAGUGAAAGACGGUUUUGCUGUCACUUAUCGAUGGAUCCGCGCCGCAUUAGCUAGUUGGUAAGGUAACGGCUUACCAAGGCAACGAUGCGUAGCCGACCUGAGAGGGUGAUCGGCCACCCGGGAACGGAGACACGGUCCAGACUCCUACGGGAGGCAGCAGUAGGGAAUCUUCCGCAAUGGUCGAAAGCCUGACGGAGCAACGCCGCGUGAGUGAUGAAGGUCUUCGGAUCGUAAAACUCUGUUAUGAGGGAAGAACAAAUGUGUAAGUAACUAUGCACGUCUUGACGGUACCUAAUCAGAAAGCCACGGCUAACUACGUG
rnacentral:rRNA from 1 species